CAGGCAGGGUGGAUAAUCGCGGCUGCAGGUGUCGAAAGACCGCAGGUGAGGAAAGUCCGGGCUUCACAGGGCAGGAUGCCGGUUAACGGCCGGCGGAGGCAACUCCAGGGACAGUGCAACAGAAAUGUACCGCUGUCAGAUCUGACAGUAAGGGUGGAAGGGCAGUGUAAGAGACUACCGCCCGGCUGGUAACAGCCGGGGCACAUGUAAACCCCAUUCGAAGCAAGACCGAACAGGAAGCGUUGACGUGGCCCGCCAGCUUCAGGUAGGUCGCAUGAGCUGACUGGCGACAGUCAGACCAGAUAGAUGAUUAUCCACGACAUAACCCGGCUUACAGCCCUGCCUGGCCC
rnacentral:RNase_P_RNA from 2 species